rnacentral:rRNA from 1 species
GACGUAGGAGGCGAGCGUUGUCCGGAUUCAUUGGGCGUAAAGAGCGCGCAGGCGGCUUGGUAAGUCGGAUGUGAAAACCCGAGGCUCAACCUCGGGCGUGCAUCCGAUACUGCUCGGCUAGAGGUAGGUAGGGGAGAUCGGAAUUCCUGGUGUAGCGGUGAAAUGCGCAGAUAUCAGGAGGAACACCGGUGGCGAAGGCGGAUCUCUGGGCCUUACCUGACGCUCAGGCGCGAAAGCCAGGGGAGCAAACGGG